AUAAUUCUUUCUCUUUGAGGUCAUGGGAGAACAUGCUUCGGAAGACAGGUGACCUUGCAGCAAGAACUGCACGAUGCGCUCCAAUGCUUCCAUCUGAAGCAUUGAUUAUGAUGUCCGUGUGAAUGCUCUCAGACAACAUCCGGCCAAGUGAUGACAGAGCAGUUGCAUUCGAUUGUUUCUCGGUUAAUCCUUCAGCCCAGAUUGAGCACAGCUCCCCACUAUUAGGCGUUGCAGUCUUGAGAUCAAGGAAUUCAACGUCGAUGAUGAACUUCCCGGUUAAGGGGAUUUCAAUAGGCCAAACAAAAUCUUCGCUACUCUUGAGUUGCUUGUCUACAACUUCAGGGUGAAUCAAAGUCUGGCGAUCUCCCAACGACGAGAUUAAUCUAAUAAUAAAAGAUGCAACUGGAGGAUUCUCUCUUGUGAAAUUUGAUAUCUCUGGAUAUAAUUUAAUAGACAAU
rnacentral:misc_RNA from 1 species